rnacentral:lncRNA from 1 species
GAUUUCACUUCGACCCACGCGCCAAUUCCGCUUGUAUCAGUGAUGGUGAUACACUGUCAUUGCAUUGAAAGUCAAGUUUGUGGAUAAUAAUGGACUCGAGAUCGUUCCAUUCCUUAUAUUUUCCUUCCGAUUAUAUUUAUUGCGAUUUCCAUCAAACUAAAAUAAAAUAACCUCGAUUACAUUCUCUUAAGAAAUCUUAUUAUACUCAACGAGUGAAGUUUUGUCCUUUUCCAACGAUGGAAACCUUAAAGAAAGAAUUAUUAUAUUUUCCAAACAUUGUUAUAACAACGGAUGCAAACGUUCGUAUAAAUUCGAUUCUUCCUAUAUAUAUAUAACCGGUUUCAUUUUAUCGUCUUAAGGAGCAAGGAACACGAGAGAGAGAGAGUGGAGGUUAGAAGAGAGAUCGCGUGACGGAGAGUUUUCGCCAUUGGGUAUGGAAUACGCAACGCUGUUUCCAUGCACACGCGAUAUUAUCCGGGUGAUCGAACGCGGAGAGCGUGUAUGCAUUCGUUUCGUGACGCACGUGGCCGUUUCAAAGUUCGCCCAUCGGGCGAUAUACUUGCGAGAUAAUCGGGCCGGCUCUCGUUUUGUCCCUUCGUGAAAAUGGCCAAUAUGUCCGCCCGGCCAAUUUAGUGUGCAAUUUGUAACAGUGUUCGAAUUAAUAUCGGCGGUAACGGAAGCUCGGUGUAGAGCGUGUUGGCGUAGAUUUUGAAAGAAGUAGUUAUUGGACUCCACGGAUGUGAAGCUGAUGUCUCUCUCUCUCUCUGUGUUUGCAACCACUCUCCUGAUUACGUGCACCGCUAUUUACACUGCUCUCAGUCGAGAUUUUCAAUGUCGAGGGGGUAAUUCCUUCGACUGUCGUGGAAUCUUUCGCGCACAGCUCUGAAAGAAGAACGUAAAUAAUUCCGCGCAAGCGUUGGAAUAUGUCAACAACGUUUCCAUCCUUCCUCCAUCCGCGGUACCAUCGGUUUUUUAGCAAGUGGAUCGAAUUGGUUCGAGCCUCGAACGAAACACAAAAGGAAACAUAAGUUGCUCGAGUAGAAAUAAUUUUGGAAAACGAAGAAGUUUGGACGCAGAUUUCCAAGAUUUUCCAGAUUUCCAUUCUUAAUUUGCUCUUAAUAUAUUGUUUAUAUAUGCGAGCAAAUUAUUUCAUCUUUUGUACCCAGAAUCUGGAGGAUUAAAGCGCACAAUCUGAUCGAACGAUAGCGAUAGCGUGUUCUGAAAAGCGUACAGAAUAAACCUAUUUCAUCCUUUUGUUUCGUGGAUUCGCAUCUCUUGCAAAGGAAUUAUCAUCCUGUUUCUGACAGUGGUGGGCAAAGAAUACAAAAGGCGUAGCCGGAAGAAAAGUGGCUGCAUUGCACACGUACAAAGGGAUAAAAACGAUUCCCCCGCAUUGUUCCAGCUCUGGACUCGUUAUCGCUAUCCAAGGAAAUCUCCAAGGUGGACGGAAUAGAAAUCGAAGGAAGGGAGAAGAAGGAGGAGGAGGAGGAAAGGAAGACGAAGUGGAGGAGAUGGGUUCACAAUCGCCAUUAUGCGCACUCGGUGAAUUCCAUUAGGAGAGAAGAAGCUUUAUCAGUGCGCUCGAUGCUGGCACAAGUCAAAUGUCAUUUCUGUCUCGCUGAAUCUUGUCGCUGAAAACUCGACAUCUAAACCUGUCACCACCCUUUCUAUCGUCGAUCGGUACAAAGGGUGUCGAGAUCGAAUCAAAUUAAAAUUGUAAAAAUUAAAAGUGUAGAGGAAUUUCGAUACCUUGGAGUUUUUCAAAAAUAGAUUAAAUUGCAAAUUGUAUGUUUGAAGUGUAAUUGAUAAUAAUUUGAAGGAUAAAUUUGAGGAAAUGAAUGGAACGAAAGUAACCCAUAAAAUUCUAGAUGGCGCUGAAACGAAUUUGAGAUGUUAUUGAAAAAAAAGAACACUAUACAUAUCACUUCCACAGGAAGUACUUGGGUACAACAGUUUUCUAACAAACGAAGAGGAGGAGGAAGAGAAGGUGAACUUGGAGCUUUGAAAUCACGACCGCUUCAUUAAGCAAGAAAGAGGUUCGAGAUAGAGAGAUUGCCGCUACGACGCCUGCCAGGAUAAUUUAUCACCAACCCUCCGUGGCCUGUGGAGGCUCGUUUCGAUGAGUUACGACGCGUUGAAUCUGUUCCUCCUUUUUUACCGCCCAUAAAACUCUGAUCGACGAGGCUGCCACGUGUAGUAAAGUCCAGCCACGGAGGAUCGAAAAUCUGCAAUCACGAUUAUUGAUGAAAUUCUAGUACAGGUGUCGAUUAGGCGAGGGAAAAGAGUUUAAAUUAUACGAAGAGAACAAUUUUUCAAGAUGCGUAAUCGUAUAAUUUGUUUAGGAACGGUACGAAUUUAGGAGAGGUUUCGAAAGUUAGAAUUAUAAAAUGAUGGUGAUAAAGUUUAUUAAGAUUGGAUAUUUAAAAAUCGGAUAUUAUCGCGAAUCCAACUCGUAUAAUCGAAUCGAUACACGUAUAUCAACGUCGUGUCUGGUAGUUACGGAAGAUUAAUGGAACGGAACGAUUCCGUGUAUUUAUCCGAAUAAAAGUCGCGUUACGAGAAUGUCGAUAUUUCAAUCGAUAAUGCAUGAAGUUUUAUUAAUAAUAUAAAGCAGAGAUUGAAAUCUACGAUAAGACGUAUUUUUAUUUAUUCAUAAGAUUUUUGUAAUUGUAUGCGUGAAAGAUAUUUCCAGACUAUUAUAAAUUUAUUAAACCACUUUUCUUAUCACGAGAUGCAUCAUGUAUUUAUGUAUUUGUGAAGUUUUAUUAAUAAUAUAAAGCAGAGAUUUAAAUCUACGAUA